GGCGGGGCUUCGGGCGGGGCCGUGCCGGGAAAGAGACUGGAGGGAAACUGGACUGAGGCCGGAAAGGGGCAAGACAACAGGGCUGUGAUCUGUGACAGCCAUGCUGCCACGAAGAGAACCAAGAAGUCAACCACCCUUCCUGUGAGCCACCAGCAGCCAUGUGGCCGGGGAAGACAACCAAGAAACCAACCCAUCUUCCUAUGAGCUAGCUGGUGUGUGGACUGGAAGACGAUGGCCCCCUACCCUCAGGCAACUGGCUGAUUGGGAGGAACACAGGCUGGGAUGAUGGCAACUGAGGCACAAGAACAACUUAUGCUUGUAUUAAUUGAUUGACUUUGCAGGCGUAAAGCCAGUAGUUUGAGCAUGUGUUUAGAAGAUAAUUAUAUGCAAUAUAGCAACUGUGGGGGAUCUCUUUCUGUCUUGUUUUAUUGUUCUUAUUGUUUUGUUCCAUUUUAUUGAUUUUAAUGAGAACAAGAUUAGCUUCCCUUUUACCUCAAAAAAUACUUUUUUCAUUUUCAUGGUUCAUUAUUUAGGAGUUUUAUCAAAUUUCAGAUAAGUGUUAUUCAUAUCUUAUUGGCUAUUUCAAGUUUUUGAAAAUAAAAUUAGUAAUCUUAUGUAUUUUAAUUGAAAACACUCAUCAAAUGUAGAAAAGUAUCUACUAAAUACAUUCAUAUUGAAAGUCUAUAAUUUCUCACUCAUUUUAUUGAAAAGUUCUGCUAUGUCUACAUGGCAAUUAAAACACUUAAAUUUUUUUCUUCAAUCAGAUUUUAUUGGUACAUUUUAGAUAUGCAUAAUAAUCACAUUCAUCUUAGAGAAUUUAUUUCUAUGCUGAUAUAACUUGAUUCUUUUUCCCGUUCCUCUACCCUCCCUUCAAUCCCUCCUCUCUCCCCAUUUACAUAAGCAUUGUUUCCAUUUUUUCCUUCUUUUCUCACUUUUUUUACUUUUCCCUUCUGUCCUUUUCCCCUGCCCCUCUUGUCCCCCUCCCCUGUUGAACAUUUUCUUCCUAUUUCAUAAUACUUAAUGUACAUUUUAAUAUGUUUGAAUUUUGUCAACUAUUAAGUUUUAAAUUACAUUUAUUUUGGGUUUCUUUAUGGAGUUGUCAAAAAUAUAUUUUGUUCUUAAACUUUUAUUGAACCUGUGUUUCAAGGCUUGAAAAUCUUUGUAAUGGACAGACCAUUUCAUUAUAUUUAGACUUUUCCUAGUUGGGAUAUAUGUUUAAAAUAGUCUAUAUAGGGCCAGGGAUUUAGCUCAGUGCCACAAGCACUUGCCUAGCAAGUGCCAGGUCAUGAAUUUGAUCCCUACUAAAAAAAAAAAAAAAAAAAAAAAAGUGGGUGUAGCACACAGGAGGCUGUGGCCACAGGAUUCCUGCAAGUUUGAGGCCAGCCUGGACUACAAAAUGAGUUCAAGUUCGGCCUGAAUUGCAUAGUAAAACCCUGUCUCAAAAAGGAAGAAAAAGUUAAAUAAGUAAAUAAAAUGGUUGAUAUAGUAGUUGACUUUGAAAAUAAAAUACACAACUAAAGCAAAAUAUUGAUGUAGUUAACAACUUCAGGUGUUUUUCUCUUACAAAAAUUAAUGAGCUGAGUUUGACUUCUAGUCUGCAAUAUUGUUGUUAAAGAGCAGCAUCCUUGUGCCCUAAUCAUGAGAGCUAUGUUGACAUACGACUGAUUAUAAAUGUCGUUUACCUAAACGUGAAGAUACCCAAAUCUUGUUUUAUGUUGUGAAUACAAAUGUCUUUACUUCGCUAAAAAAAUAACUAUUGGAACUAUUAAAAAUAACUAUUAGAACCUGGCAUGGUGGUACAUGCCUAUAAUUCCAGUACUCUAGGAGGCUGAAGUAGGAAGAACACAAAUUUAAGCCCAGCUUGAGCCACUUAGUAAUUUAGUGAGACUUUGUCUCAAAUUAAAAAUAAAGGGUUGAGGAUGCAGCUCAGCGGGGAGGCCCUCAUUUCAAAUUACUGUUAGGGUUUCCUGUGACAAGUGUAGCUCACACUAAUUGCCAACUGAUCAGUGUUCAUAGUAUCCAGAAUAGAAUAUAUAUCACUUGGUGUUUUGUUAUGUACUUGAUUUUUCACUUUUUUAUUUUAAAGAGGAUAAAACAGCAUUAAAACCAAUCAAAACAAACCAGUGUAAAAGAUACAGGACUUCAAAACAUUAUGAAAUCAACAAUAAUUAGCAUAAUGCCUUUUGAUGUCUUCAAAAUAGCUGUGGAAAACUUCAGAUGUAGUGAAAAUCAGACAGAAUAGACUAGAAACCAUAAAAACAAAACAAUGAAUGCAGUAAAGGACUUCAAGCCAAUAGUAAAUCCAAAAUUGCUACCAUAAUAUAUCUUGCUAUCUUUGAAAUAGCUACUCCUGCCACUGGAUUUGUCAUAAUCAAACAAAAUAAAAGAGAAUAAAACCCAACCCAACAAUAUAAUGAAAACAAUAAAGGACUUCCAAAACAAGACCAUAGGGAAUCAACAAUGGCUGCAACCCUCAGGAGAUCCCCCCUAGAUGUCACACUGUGAAUCACUAUCGUCUGAACCUAGGAUCAGACCGCUGGCCAUAGAUCUGCAGUGUUAGUGAAACCCCAAAACACCACAGGCAUCCAAUUGCAUUUCGCCUCCAUAGCUAUCAUGAUAGCCUGUGUUUCUCUGGAAAGCUGGUCAUUUAUGGUAGGGGUGGGGUAUGGUGGGGGACGGGGUGUGGCUGCUGGGGCUGGGGUUGGUACUUUUUGUUUGCCAGAUUGAGUGCCAGAAGAGGCUGGAGUCUGUCUGUUUCAGUCCAGUGGUGGCCUGUGUAUGGCACUGGUUCCCACACUGUGUUUGCUUGCUGGUGUGGCUUUUUGACUUUUCACUUUUUGAAUGCAUUUUAUUGUUCAAUUUUUGUGUGUGGGGGGAUGGGAGGAAUGUUGAAACAGGGUCUUGGUACAUAAUUCAGGCUGGCCUUGAUCUCACCAUGUAGCCCACCCUGGCCUUGAACUGUGGCAGUCCUCUUGCCUUAGCCUCCUGUGUGUUGGGAUUUAUAGGUGCAUACCACCAUACUCCUUUCAAUUUUAAAAAAUAAAUUGUUUUACUAAAUAGAUCA